GACGUAGGAGGCGAGCGUUGUCCGGAUUCAUUGGGCGUAAAGAGCGCGCAGGCGGCUUGGUAAGUCGGAUGUGAAAACCCGAGGCUCAACCUCGGGCGUGCAUCCGAAACUGCUCGGCUAGAGGUAGGUAGGGGAGAUCGGAAUUCCUGGUGUAGCGGUGAAAUGCGCAGAUAUCAGGAGGAACACCGGUGGCGAAGGCGGGUCUCUGGGCCGAUACUGACACUGAAAAGCGAAAGCCAGGGGAGCAAACGGG
rnacentral:rRNA from 1 species